GCGGACGGUGCUAGGACGCAUGUGCGAGCCAUCCCGCUACACUUCCCGCCCCCACCUCCACCCCGCCCCCACCUGGAGAUUGCGAGCCCAUCUACAGUUGUCUGAUGGGGGACUGAGAUGGGAUGCCACAGUCUGGUCCUGCUCUGUAGCCUGGGCUGCGGUCAAUCUUGAGAUCUCCCAGCCACAGCCUCAAGUGCUGAGAAACUAGGUGCGGCUGUAAGCAUCUAAAACAAGAUAGUUCCAGGCCGUCUCUGACUGGCCGGCCUGGAACUCCCCGUGGAGACGAGGCUGGGCUGGAACUCCUAGCUACUACCCUCUGCUUCUGCCUCCCACGCUGCUGUUAACUAAUGGGCCCUCCAGUUAGCUCAUCCCAGGAAAUCCAUAAAAGCCUUUUGU
rnacentral:lncRNA from 1 species